rnacentral:rRNA from 1 species
GAAUUUUGGACAAUGGGCGCAAGCCUGAUCCAGCCAUGCCGCGUGAGUGAAGAAGGCCUUCGGGUUGUAAAGCUCUUUCGGCGGGGACGAAACGGUCCAUGCCAACACCACGGACUCAUGCCGGUACUCGCAGGAGAAGCCCCGGCUCACUAAGUGCCAGCAGCCGCGGUAAUACGUAGGGUGCGGGCGUUAAUCGGAAUUACUGGGCGUAAAGCGUGCGCAGGCGGCUCCUUAAGUCAGAUGUGAAAUCCCCGGGCUUAACCUGGGAACUACGUUUGAAACUGAGGGGCUUGAGUGUGGAAGAGGGGGGUGGAAUUCCAGGUGUAGCAGUGAAAUGCGUAGAGAUCUGGAGGAACACCGAUGGCGAAGGCAGCCCCCUGGGCUAACACUGACGCUCAUGCACGAAAGCGUGGGGAGCAAACAGG